AACGACUYUYGGCAACGGAUAUYUYGGCUCUCGCAUCGAUGAAGAACGUAGCGAAAUGCGAUACUUGGUGUGAAUUGCAGAAUCCCGUGAACCAUCGAGUCUUUGAACGCAAGUUGCGCCCGAGGCCMUUAGGCCGAGGGCACGUYUGGSUGGGUGUCACACAACG
rnacentral:rRNA from 1 species